rnacentral:lncRNA from 1 species
GCCGUGGAGGUGCGGCUGGAACGGCUGCUGCUUGGCAAAGGGAAAAGAAGCUGCGGAGGGGACGGGGGAGAUGCUCGCGCCGCCCUUGCUGCAGUAGGUCGUAGCCACGAGGUGAGGAAGCAGCAGACGGCCGCCGUUCUGUUUUUCCCCGAGUGCCAGCCCAGAACUUGCUUUUCCACCUGGUGGAUGCUCGUCUGACAGCUGCACGCAGCUCCUCAGC